GAUGAAGAACGUAGCGAAAUGCGAUAAGUAAUGUGAAUUGCAGAAUUCAGUGAAUCAUCGAAUCUUUGAACGCACCUUGCACCCUUUGGCAUUCCGAAGGGUAUGCUCGUUUGAGUGUCAUUGUACUCUCACACUUCUGAUCCUUGGAUUGGGAGCGGUGGACUUGGGUGUUGCUGCUUUACUGUGGCUCACCUCAAAUGCAUUCGUGCAACUCUUGGUUGGACAUAGUACGGCGUGAUAAGUAUCUUCGCCGGCACCUCGCAAGAGGGUGGCUGAUCAGGAGCUCUGUGCUUUCCAACUGUCUUCAGACAACAACUGACAACUUGACCUCAAAUCGAGUAGGACCACCCGCUGAACUUAAGCAUAUCAAUAAGCGGAGGA
rnacentral:misc_RNA from 1 species